rnacentral:rRNA from 1 species
AUGAUACAAACAACUCACAAGAGGAAGCUACCCAUGGUGGCUCUUAAGUUGGAUUUUCAGAAAGCCUUUGACACAGUUAGUUGGUCGUGCCUUUUCAACAUUCUCACUGCUAGAGGCUUUCCUCAACGCUGGAUCAGGUGGAUCGAAUCUCUGUUGUCUACGACAACUUCCAAAGUCAUGCUGAAUGGGGAACUGUGAGACUCUUUCGCCACUAAGAGGGGCUUUCGACAGGGCGAUUCUAUUUCACCGUAUCUUUUCAUUCUGGUGGCUGAUGUUCUGAAGCGGCUA